GAUGAACGCUGGCGGCGUGCUUAACACAUGCAAGUCGAACGGAAAGGCCCAAGCUUGCUUGGGUACUCGAGUGGCGAACGGGUGAGUAACACGUGGGUGAUCUGCCCUGCACUUCGGGAUAAGCCUGGGAAACUGGGUCUAAUAUCGGAUAGGACCACUUCUUCGAUGUUGUGGUGGAAAGUUUUUUCGGUGUGGGAUGAGCUCGCGGCCUAUCAGCUUGUUGGUGGGGUAAUGGCCUACCAAGGCGUCGACGGGUAGCCGGCCUGAGAGGGUGUACGGCGACAUUGGGACUGAGAGACGGCCCAGACUCCUAAGGGAGGCAGAAGUGGGGAAUAUUGCACAAUGGGCGCAAGCCUGAUGCAGCGACGCCGCGUGGGGGAUGACGGCCUUCGGGUUGUAAACUCCUUUCGCUAGGGACGAAGCGUUUUGUGACGGUACCUGGAGAAGAAGCACCGGCUAACUACGUG
rnacentral:rRNA from 1 species